CAGUAGCGUAUAUUAAAGUUGUUGCAGUUAAAAAGCUCGUAGUUGGAUUUCGGGUGGGAAUGGCCGGUCCGCCGUUUCGGUGUGCACUUGCUACGCCCACCUUGCUGCCGGGGACGUGCUCUUGAGUUCACGCUCGGGACACGGAGUCGGCGAGGUUACUUUGAGUAAAUUAGAGUGUUCAAAGCAGGCCUACGCUCUGAAUACAUUAGCAUGGAAUAACACGAUAGGACUCUGGCCUAUCUUGUUGGUCUGUAGGACCGGAGUAAUGAUUAAGAGGGACAGUCGGGGGCAUUCGUAUUUCAUUGUCAGAGGUGAAAUUCUUGGAUUUAUGAAAGACGAACUACUGCGAAAGCAUUUGCCAAGGAUGUUUUCAUUAA
rnacentral:rRNA from 1 species